rnacentral:rRNA from 1 species
CCUACGGGAGGCAGCAGUGGGGAAUAUUGCACAAUGGGGGAAACCCUGAUGCAGCGACGCCGCGUGAGUGAAGAAGUAUUUCGGUAUGUAAAGCUCUAUCAGCAGGGAAGAAACCCACCCUCCGGGGUGGCUGACGGUACCUGACUAAGAAGCCCCGGCGAACUACGUGCCAGCAGCCGCGGUAAUACGUCGGGGGCAAGCGUUAUCCGGAUGUACUGGGUGUAAAGGGGGCGGAGGUGGCAAGGCAAGUCGGAUGUGAAAACCCGGGGCCCAACCCCGGGAGUGCAUUUGAAACUGUCUGGCUCGAGUGCAGGAGAGGUAAGUGGAAUUCCGGGUGUAGCGGUGAAAUGCAUAGAUAUUGGGAGGAACACCAGUGGCGAAGGCGGCUUACUGGACUGUAACUGACGCUGAGGCUCGAAAGCGUGGGGAGCAAACAGGAUUAGAUACCCGGGUAGUC